rnacentral:lncRNA from 1 species
AUGCCUGCCUGCCUGCUAGAGAACAGCUCUCACCUGAGGCACAGAAGACAGAAGGUGCAGACAGUGAUGCUAUUGACAGCUGACUUCUGGCAAAAGAAAAAACAGAAAGCACAUCUGGGUAACGUAUGUGGAAAGUCAGAUUCUCUGUGUCUCUGUGUUUAUUAUUUUUACUUUAUAAACAGGAUUCUUAAGAUAUAGCAGUCGCUGAUAAAUUUGUCCUUCACAGUAUUCAGUUUUAAGAACACAAGUUAACCAAAUUAAAUAAUAUUUCAAUUUUCUAUGCUUUUAUAUAUCAUCACUUUGUCUCUUAGCACCAUCUCCCUCACCUCAAUGACCAUUUUCUGUGUUAUCAGAAAUGUUUAUAUCAGAAAGGUAAAGUUGAUUUUUCCCUACCAUAUGAGUUUACAAAGAAAGUAAACAGUGUAGUGACAAUCCUUGCACAAGAAGAUUAAAUACUUUGGGAAUAACUAUUCGUUAAAGAUAAAAUGUGAAGUUGGAAGACCUCUGGCAUCAGGGAAGGAGUUAGAAGAAACUCGAGCUAAGCAGUACACAUAGAAGGACUGGCCAUUUCACUGCAAUUUUAAAAUAUAGAAAAGAUUAAAAUUUAUGACUCAAGGGAAGAUUGAUGAAAGAGCUUACACAAAAAAAUUACUGAUGAGAAAGAGAAAGGGGAUAGACUGAGAGAGCUUAAUGUACUUUGUCAGUUGAAGCAUGCAAAUGUCUAGUAAUUCAAGCAAGAUAAGAAAAUGAAGUAAUGCUGACUUUUGGAAUUUUAACUAUUCCAUAAAUAUGAGAAAAAGCAAUACUUUAAAAUGAGAGGAAACACAACGUCCUGCUUCUGUCCAUCA